rnacentral:rRNA from 1 species
GACAGAGGGUGCAAACGUUGUUCGGAAUUACUGGGCGUAAAGCGCGUGUAGGCGGCUAAGUAAGUCGGGCGUGAAAUCCCACGGCUCAACCGUGGAAGUGCACUCGAAACUGCAUAGCUAGAGUCCUGGAGAGGAAGGUGGAAUUCCUGGUGUAGCGGUGAAAUGCGCAGAUAUCAGGAGGAACACCGGUGGCGAAGGCGGGUCUCUGGGCCGAUACUGACGCUGAGGAGCGAAAGCGUGGGGAGCGAACAGG